rnacentral:rRNA from 1 species
GGGCUCGCGGCCUAUCAGCUAGUUGGUGAGGUAACGGCCCACCAAGGCGACGACGGGUAGCCGACCUGAGAGGGUGACCGGCCACACUGGGACUGAGACACGGCCCAGACUCCUACGGGAGGCAGCAAGCGGGAAUAUUGCACAAUGGGCGCAAGCCUGAUGCAGCGACGCCGCGUGAGGGAUGAAGGCCUUCGGGUCGUAAACCUCUGUUGAUGGGGACGCUGACGGUACCCAUCAGGAAGCCCCGGCUAACUCCGUGCCAGCAGCCGCGGUAAUACGGAGGGGGCAAGCGUUGUCCGGAUUUACUGGGCGUAAAGAGCGCGUAGGUGGUCCAUUAAGUCGGCUGUGAAAUCGCUGGGCUUAACCCAGCAAUGUCAGUCGAUACUGGUGGACUCGAGUCCGGGAGAGGGAAGUGGAAUUGCUGGUGUAGCGGUGGAAUGCGUAGAU